rnacentral:rRNA from 1 species
AGCCUAUACAGGUGUUGCAUGGCUGUCGUCAGCUCGUGUCGUGAGAUGUUCGGUUAAGUCCGCUAACGAGCGCAACCCUCGUCGUAUGUUAUAUGUGUCAUACGAGACUGCCGGUAAAAGCCGGAGGAAGGUGAGGAUGAUGUCAAGUCAGCAUGACCUUUAUAUCCAGGGCUACACACACGCUACAAUGGUCUGUACAAUGGGUAGCCAAGCCGCGAGGCGGAGCCAAUCCUGAAAGCAGGCCUCAGUUCAGAUUGCAGUCUGCAACUCGACUGCAUGAAGCCGGAGUUGCUAGUAACCGCAGGUCAGCAAUACUGCGGUGAGUACGUUCCCGGGUCUU